rnacentral:rRNA from 1 species
CAGCCGCCGCGGGAAUACGAAGGGGGCUAGCGUUGCUCGGAAUGACUGGGCGUAAAGGGCGCGUAGGCGGUUUUGACAGUCAGAUGUGAAAUUCCUGGGCUUAACCUGGGGGCUGCAUUUGAGACGUCAAGACUAGAGUGUGAGAGAGGGUUGUGGAAUUCCCAGUGUAGAGGUGAAAUUCGUAGAUAUUGGGAAGAACACCGGUGGCGAAGGCGGCAACCUGGCUCAUUACUGACGCUGAGGCGCGAAAGCGUGGGGAGCAAACAGGAUUAGAGACCCCCGUAGUCCCUGUCUCUUAUAC